rnacentral:rRNA from 1 species
UACAGAGACCUCAAACGUUGUCCGGAUUUACUGGGCGUAAAGGGUCCGUAGGCGGUCUGAUGCGUCAGUGGUCAAAUCUCGGAGCUUAACUCCGGGACUGCCGCUGAUACGGUCAGACUCGUGCAUGGGAGAGGUAAGCGGAAUUGCCGGUGUAGUAGUAAAAUGCGUUAAUAUCGGCAAGAACACCAAAUGCGAAGGCAGCUUACUGGAACAUUGCAGACGCUAAGGGACGAAAGCGUGGGGAGCGAAA